GUGCAAUCCGCUAACCGGUCAGGCCGUGUCGCGGAAGGUUUGAACAACCCGCUAAUUCCUCGCGAAGCGCGAAGAAAGGUGAGCA
rfam:Duganella sp. Root198D2 contig_1, whole genome shotgun sequence.